UAUGAGGAGAACAGCCAUAUGUGAGGUGCCCUGGAUGAAUAUAUUCACUUGUGUCACCUUAGAGAACUAAGACUUUCUGGUGUCCUCAUUUGCUCAGACACUUAAAACUCAAGCCCUGCUUCAUGCUCAGUUAUCUCGUUGGCCUACCAUGUCCUGGGUUUCUGAGGCCGACAGUUUGCAUGCUUCUCAGGGUCUGUUCAAACAUGCCACCAGUGUGUCCAGCUGACGGCAGUGACAGAGCUGUGCUCCACCUUCUUCCCUGGAAGCUGCUGGAAGGUCAGGGAUUCUCAUGGAAGAAAAGGCAGCAACCCUGUAAGAGCCAGAGGAAGUGAAUGUCUGCAGCAGAACAGCAUCUGUCGCAUGUGAAUGGUUUCACACGUGGACUUACAAUGGCAAACCGCAAGCCUAGGACCUAUACAAGAUCAAGACAGUCGAACUCCCAGCAUGGAUGGGAGAGGGGCUCAGGAAGCGCCACCCCUAUCUGAGGAGCUGUUGGCAACUGACCGCUAAAUGGGAGAGAGAGAGGGAGAGGGAGAGGGAAUGUUCUUUCCCCAGGAUGAAGAUCCUGAGAGAUGACUCAUGCUCCAGAAGAUGGUCCUAUAUUCUUGCAAAUGCAGACAGGACUAAAUGGACCCAAUGGCUAUUAAAGUAUAUAUGUGUGGUUGGGA